rnacentral:rRNA from 1 species
GACGAACGCUGGCGGCGUGCUUAACACAUGCAAGUCGAACGAAGUGGCGAACGGGUGAGUAAGGCGUAAUCAACCUGCUCUUCAGAGGGGGACAACAGUUGGAAACGACUGCUAAUACCGCAUACUGAAGGUGGGGAUUGCGUCGGAUUGGCUAGUUGGGGGGGUAACGGCCGACCAAGGCGAUGAUCAGUAGCCGGUCUGAGAGGAUGAACGGCCACAUCGGGACUGAGAAACGGCCCAGACUCCUACGGGAGGCAGCAGUUGGGAAUCUUCCGCAAUGGACGGAAGUCUGACGGAGCAACGCCGCGUGAGUGAUGACGGGCUUCGGGUUGUAAAGCUCUGUUAGUCGGGACGCGGUACCGAAAUAGAAAGCCACGGCUAACUACGUGCCAGCAGCCGCGGUAAUUC